GCACCCAGAGGCGUCCUUCAGCUGGCCCCUAAACAAAUAAUUACUAGUUCAGUGAUAAUGAACGCCAUACUAAUUUCCAAAGUGUACACAAGAAACUAAAAUUAAAAUAAUACAAGACUAACAAAGGCCAGAGGCUCCUGACUUGGGACAGGCGCAAAAAUGCCCCGGGGUUAAACAUGUUUGUGAGAUCUCAACCCUCCCC
rnacentral:lncRNA from 1 species